UGUAACUGCUCUGUUUAGUUAAGGCUGAAAUAGCUCAGUGCUGCAGCAUUUAAAAUUGACCAAAGGCUCCUUCCCAGGGCUGGAUCUUGCCAGAGCUGUAUUACUCUGUAGUUUAAAACUGGGUCCUGGAAUGAAUAUUGUGGGGUGAAUAAUUCCCAGAGGACAGCUGAUGCUGUAGUUACAAAGCUCUUACUGAUGACCUGCUGGAAGUCAAGGUUGCCAUACACAAACUGGCCAGUGCUAGAGGCUGCUGCUACUUCAAAGCCCAGAGCAAGGUGACUGACUGCACCUUUCUCCUAGUGAAAACCAGGACACCCUUUCCCUCAGGGCAGGGAGACCCCAAAUCCUCACUAAGUGCAGCAAACAGAGACUUAAAGACAGCAGGGUUCUUCAAAGGAAAUGUGUCAUGGCUAGUCAGUGCAGUUGUAUGAAUAUGUGAGAUUUUAUGUAUCAAUAGCCACCGAAGUGUGGUUAUACUAACAGCUGCAUGUUCUUUCUAGUUCUCCUUCCUCCAGUGCACAGCAAGGAGUUGUUAUUAGGUGUCCAAUUUGCAUGGAAUUUUACUCAGAGUUUAUUCAACGCGGACGACAGCUUGUGGCAACCCAAUGUGGCCAUGUCUUCUGCAGUAGAUGCCUCCCUAUUGCUCUUGAGGCUUCUUACAUGUGCCCAAGCUGCAGAAUGGCACUCACACCACAACGAUACCAUACCAUUUAUUUAUGAGUGCUAGAUGGAUCUUGGCCAAUAGGCAGCGUAGAAACUUGUUUAUGUAUAUAGUUCUUCCUCUAUAUAGUUUCAUUUUUGCUGAAUUCAAUUUAAGUAAAGUUUUGAUUGAUUUAAAUAUAGUCUGUCUGCUCUUCUGUCUGCACUGUGCUGGUAGAGAUGUUGUUUAACCGGUAGAAAUAAGGCUCUUUGUUGGAGCAGUAAGGAGCUCGUUCAUCUCCCCGUAGUCAUUGACUUGGGGGCAAUGUGCUAAAGCCAUAAUCUUUGCAGUUCUUAUGGUCAGUGUGUGUUGUAGAGGGAAAAAGAAACAGGCCUUCCUUUUGGGGCAAGGCCUUGUAUUUCUCAAGCCAGAUUCUGGUGAAUGUUUUGGUGAAAAUGUCAUGAUUUUGGUGCUCUGAAUAUUGGAAGAACAGCAGGUUGUCCACAGUUUGCGAAGAAAACAGUUUCCUUUGAGAAACUUGUAGGUAUCC
rnacentral:lncRNA from 1 species